GUUCUCGUCCGAUCACCGAAGUUAAGCUCGAUUGGGCGCGGUUAGUACUUGGAUGGGUGACCGCCUGGGAAUACCGCGUGCUGUAGGCA
rnacentral:rRNA from 1 species